CCCGGCUCUUCUCUGCGACGCCUGGGGAAAUCAGGGGUGGGGUGGGGUGGGGCUGUCAGCCUCUUCCCUUCCACCUGGCUCACCUUCCUCCAUGUGCCCCACCCAAGCCCUCUGGAAAGGGCCUGCCUGUGUCCGCUGGGGUUGGUGCAGGACCCUGCAUGGAUGACAGAGGAUCCCCAGUGGGAAGGGGGCAGGGCCUGACUGAUACUUACUUCAUCCCUUCCCCCUCUGGUAUCCAGCAAGGGAGCCUCUUGGGGGAGGAAAACUCCAGAGUUCCCUUGUCCCCCUGCUGCUGCCCACUUCCAUCCCCGUGAACCCAGCCCCAGGAGUGAGAGGGCGAGUAACCUGGUGGAACAACAGGCUCACAUCCCCCAGUUCUGCAGCAGUCGGGACCUCUGAGAAAGUGAGACAUAACCUGGGAGUGGUCCUGAGUGGCAUGAACAGCAGCCAGGGAGCUCUUGACAGUGUCAGGGAUGACAUAUGUCCAGACCAUCCAGCCACAGCUCUGGAGGACAGAUGCAGCUGGUGGGCCCUUACAACACUUCUCCAGGCCCCAAGUCAGUGGCCUCUCUUUGU